rnacentral:rRNA from 1 species
CCUGUACUAUGCUUUAUUGAAGCUUAGAUUACAAUUCAAACCCCCCUCUGUGUACUUUUCCUGUUGCUUCCGUGGGGUCACGGAGCUGUCCAGCGUAUGAUGUAGCCAUAACCUCUUCGCAAGUUGUUGGUUGGGGUUUUCCGUCGAGACACUCCUAGCUGAUCAUCGCCGCAGUGAGUUUGGGCUGCCUCCUCAGUGGGUAUUAUGGUUGCUCUACUAAAUUACUUAGUUUUGGUUUAUACAGGCUUAGUCCGGGGUAAAUAGUAACCACGGAAAGUGUUGGUUGGAGAUUGAAUUCAUCAUAGGAAAACCACACACAAAGUGACGGUUGGAGAUUGUAUUCAUCUUACGAAAACCACCUGGAUGUUGGUUCGAAUUUACCUACCUAGUUAUUCUAAGAGUUCGUUGGAGUGUAUCUUUGCUCUGGGCGGUACUAGGCUUAUCUAGCGUUCAUGCCAGCACCCAUGAAUAGAAAUUAUUUCAAAUUGUUUUGUCUUUUGUCUGAAUUAUAUAAAUAACAAUUGUUAAAACUUUCAACAACGGAUCUCUUGGUUCCAGCAUCGAUGAAGAACGCAGCGAAAUGCGAAAAGUAAUGUGAAUUGCAGAAUUCAGUGAAUCAUCGAAUCUUUGAACGCACAUUGCGUGUCGGCGGUAAUUAAUCCGUAACACAUGCUUUUAUGAGCGUCAUGAAACCCCGUUCAAGCUCUUUUGCUUGGUUGUGAAGCUUGAGCGAUGCCUGCGUGCUUGUUCACCUUUGAAAUUUAUCGGCGUAUGUCUUUGCGUUCCAUUUCGCGUUAUAGGUUAACUCUUUCGCUUGGAUUACCAAAGCUGUGCUGCUGUGAUCACCUCAA